CCCCCCCGCCGCCCGGCAGCAGCAGCGCCUCAGACCCGCCACCCAUCGCUGGAUGUUCCUCCACUUUACCCACCGUAUCAAACAACUUUUACCAGUAAAUAUCGGUUUAUUCCUGAAACCAGAAGCCCUAAACAUACCUUUGUUUAUAAGGUCAGUUGGCAUUUUGUCUCUCUCAUUCCCCACUCCCCCCCAGUACAACCCAGCAGGUGGUUGAAAGGUACCAAGUUCUCUUUCUAGUUUUCCUGCUCUGCAUCUCUGGGAACUGGAGCCCGCAGGACCUAGAGCCUUCUGUUGGUAAUGUAGAUCCGAGUUUACAAAUUAUUCUUUUACCAUUUUAAAUCCUGCUUUUAAGGACAGAGGUGUUCCCACCUGCCCGCCACGGGGACUGGUAGAAACCCCUAAAUUGCUCCUCCUCUCCGAAGCCUGUGGGUAGGUCUCUCACUAGCAUCUUCAGGCUUGGGGCUGAAAAAAUAAUUGAUCCCAAAAUAUACACUAAAAACUGCCAUUUCUGGUUUACUGUGAGCAGGACCGGGGGAGGGAAGGGAGGGAAAGGAGUUUGAAACUUACUUUUCUCCCCCUUUUUUCCUAGAAAGCAAAUGUGACAUGGGGAGGAGGGAGAGAAUGUGAACAUGGCCCUUCCUAAAGUCAUUGUAAACUCUUCCUCCAAGGCUGGGAAAAAGGGCAAGUGAAAGAUCUGAUCCUUAAAAGGACAUCACUGGGUGUCUGAGACCCCAAAAGCAGCUGGCGAUUUUUAAGGACUCAAAUUGCUUUUGAUUUAUCCCAAGACAAAUUGACUUGGGAAUGUUGACGCCUCCUUUUUCCCCACAAGUAUUUGCCACCCAAACACUGCACGUUUUGUUAAUAUCCCAGAAACAGAGAACCUGAUGAGGGAUAGAAAAUGAGUUUACUGCAUGGUCCAGGCCAAAUUUUUUCUCCCAAGCAAACAAAAUUAAAAAAUUUUUAAAAACCCUCAAACCAAAGCCCAUCCCUGACCCUCCCCAAAAAAAACCUCCUAAGAAAGCAAGUCCAAGAGGAUCUCAAAUGCCCAGUCUGGUUCUGUCCUCCAUGGUUGACAGGGGUGUUUUUGGCAUAGCUGCAGCCCAACCAUGUCCCUUUAAGGAGCACUGUGGCUCAUUUCCUCCUCACCAACCCCGAGCUGAGGUUCCUGAGAGCUGAUCAGAGCUCCUCAGCCUUAGGUGGAAUCCAGAAUGAGGGGAGGCCUUCCAGCUGUGCACUUUGAGCUGAAAACUACCUUUCCUCCCCUUUUGCAGCCUGGGUGGUUCUGAUUGCUGGCAGUUCUGUAAUACAACCUUAAUCUGAGCAGUUGAGGCUGGUCCUACCUUAUCUUCAGACGUCUUGCGGAGGACUCCUGUUACCAGUUUGGUACUCAAAAGCUACACCCCACCACCAGAAGUCACUUUUUGUUUUUUCCAAAGGCAGUGAUAGCUCACCCUCUCUAGCUCUAAUGGGAAACCUGAUAAUUGCAAUGCAACUUUCUAAUAAAUUGUUCAUAUAUUCAUAAUUCCGUUGCAAUCCCAAAUUGGAGAAGAGAUCUGUUAAAGGUAUAUAUUAGUCUAGAUUUUUCUUAUUGUAAAUACUGUAAUUUUAUAAUACUGUCAAUAUUUUAUUAACUUAGAAAUAUUUAACAGAGUUUAAUCUAUGGUAGUUGAUUCAUUUAUAGGUUUAUGUUGCAGCCAAUUACAUUCUAAUGUAAGAUUAACUUUCAGCAUGUAAACUUUGAGUGAAUAUAUCUUUGGAAAGAUUAAGAGAGAAAACUCUCACUCUUAAUCUGUAGUAUUUAUCCCCAAUUCCCAAUUGGGAAUUAUUUAACGAAAUAUUAGGAGGUUUUGAGAGCUCAUGAAUCUAAUAACUGCAGUUGGAUUUGAAAACUUGGAUUUUGAGAUGUACCUGGCUCUUUGACCCUGUGAAAAAGUUCAUUUCAGUACCUGACCUCUCUAGCACAGAAGUCUUUAUUUUGAGCAAAGGGACACUGUCAGUUCAAUUUUAGUUUCUUGCUUUUGGGGGGAAAAAGAAACCACAAAACGCAGCCGUGCGGCAUGCGUGUGAAUUCCUUUUGGCUCGCAAGGGGAGCAGCUCCUCUCCCGAGGCUUUGUGUCCCCGGCCAGAGCAGCUCCAUCCCGGCAGCGCCGCUGCUCCCGCCCCAGCCCGGCCCCAGCCGCAGCUUGGGGAGAUGGAAAAAGUGCACAAAUCUCAAACUUGACUUGAUUUUUGACCAAAGCGUUUGCUUUUUAAAAAUUGAAAUCUCUCUCUCUCUUUUCACCUGAUGGUGUCCCUUUAGCAUCAUAAAGAUGUUCAUGUUCUCUGAAAACCGUGAGAAGUGAUUUUCUUUUCAAGGCAGGGGAGAAUUGGUCUGUCAUUACAACUUGCAUAAAAAAUACCAAAAAUAUCUUGAGGGUUUUCACAGGCGUUGGUAUUUUUUGAGUGUAAAAGUUAAUCUUGAUUAGAGAUGUGCCAAUCUUUACUGCUUUCCUGUAGUGUUGUUACACUUAGGCAUUUCAGUUCACUUACAAAUAUAUACUGUAACAGUAUACUUUGUACAGAUUUAUUUAAAAUUUAUUUGAAAACUGAAAUAAAGUAGGCAGAAAAUAAAGAUAUUUAUUUUUCAUUUGACUAUGUAAGAAGGUAUCAUUCUUUUGGUUUUAGUGCACUGGUGUACCAAGCCUCAGAACCACUGCUUUCUCCAGCUCAUAGGAUGCUUUUCCAGACUGUGGAUACGUGUAUGUGUACUGCUGUGUUGAUAAGUAAAUGCCAACGAUGGAGUUCGUUGCUUUUAUACAUCCCAAAGAGAAGUUCUCCACCGUUCCCUGUCUGUUUUCUGACCGAAAAGGCGUGUGUUUGUGAACAGUGUUCACGCCAGCUCUGCCACCCCACCCUCACAUCAGCUCACACCAAUGCCAGGAUGGGAGGAGUUGCCUGCGUACCUUCCCCAAAACACCCCGGGCCGCAGUGGCAUCGUCAGGGAGCAGUUCAAACCUGUGUCCUUUGGGCUUUGUGUAAAGCAAAUGCAGAACAAGAAAAAUCGAGAUGUUAAAUCCAUUAGAAAACAAAUUCCUUAUUGUACAGUAGUAUGGAGAUCUCUAGUCAACCUGCCAUUAAUAAUAGAUUCUUAUUUUUUGAAUGAUCUAUUUAAAAGAACAGCAAGCAUUGUAUUUGCUAGUAAAUCUGAAGUGUUUACAUGGAAUUACUAAAUAAAUUAUUUGAUCUAAGA